rnacentral:rRNA from 1 species
UACGUAGGGUCCGAGCGUUGUCCGGAAUUACUGGGCGUAAAGAGCUCGUAGGUGGUUUGUCGCGUUGUUCGUGAAAACUCACAGCUCAACUGUGGGCGUGCGGGCGAUACGGGCAGACUGGAGUACUGCAGGGGAGACUGGAAUUCCUGGUGUAGCGGUGGAAUGCGCAGAUAUCAGGAGGAACACCGGUGGCGAAGGCGGGUCUCUGGGCAGUGAACUGACGCUGGAGGAGCGAAAGCCGUGGGGAGCGAACAGG